GAUGAACGCUGGCGGCGUGCUUAACACAUGCAAGUCGAACGGGAAACAUUUUAUUGAAGCUUCGGCAGAUUUGAUUUGUUUCUAGUGGCGGACGGGUGAGUAACGCGUGGGUAACCUGCCUUAUACUGGGGGAUAACAGCCAGAAAUGGCUGCUAAUACCGCAUAAGCGCACAGAACCGCAUGGUUCCGUGUGAAAAACUCCGGUGGUAUAAGAUGGACCCGCGUUGGAUUAGCUAGUUGGCAGGGCAGCGGCCUACCAAGGCGACGAUCCAUAGCCGGCCUGAGAGGGUGAACGGCCACAUUGGGACUGAGACACGGCCCAGACUCCUACGGGAGGCAGCAGUGGGGAAUAUUGCACAAUGGGGGAAACCCUGAUGCAGCGACGCCGCGUGAAGGAAGAAGUAUUUCGGUAUGUAAAACUCUAUCAGCAGGGAAGAUAAUGACGGUACCUGACUAAGAAGCACCGGCUAAAUACGUGCCAG
rnacentral:rRNA from 1 species